rnacentral:piRNA from 1 species
UACAUAGCAUUUACACAAUAUUGCUUUUGU